UCGAGAAGGACGCAUCCUGCGACACUACAGUAACGUCGGCGCCCUCCACAGCGUUCGCCGCGGACGAGACGAUACCGGCGCGGCGCUUCUUCAGGUUGUGGCAGCCAGCUGCCAUCGCCGGCACAGAGGCGCCGCGCACCAUCCUGGUGGUGCCGGCCCACUGGGUGACCGAAUCUCCGGCCGUCAGCGUCAUCCGCGGCAACAACGACACCAUCUACAACUUCCCAAGUCCAUGUACCAGGUUCGUGAGUUCGCCCGUGCGCCCCUCUCGCUUCUAUGUACCAGGACCAUUGUAUGGAUUCAACGCUCGAUUCCAAUAGCCGCGGAUUGCGUCGUUGUCUGGGUUUGGUUGCGAGUUGUUGAUCGUUGGGGAUUGGAUUGGAUGGCGCAAUACUACAGGGCCAUCAGCCAUCUACAAUGUCGGCGCCCUCAAUGGCAUCCGCCGUGACUUGCUGGUCUCCAUGCGCUUCAGUGCCGUCCAGCCAUGAUGUCUUAGGAGUGUGCGACGGCGGGGCACGACGGGCUUAUGUGUCCAAUUAAUGAUUCCUUCACCUAUUUCUGACAGCAUUAAGGGUCCCAGUGUCGAUGCUUUACAAAAUGAAAGAACUAUGUACAAAUUCCCUCUGAUGCUUAAUUGGUUACUUGUUUCUUUCAUUUUCCUUUGUAUUUUGAACAAGUAAAAUACUCUUGGAUCUAUGAGAAGAACAUCAACUUCUAUUUAAGUUUCAGGUGGUGCCGCCGCCCUUUCUCUGCCUGCUACGGACUAGCCCCUCUGCGUCACCCUGCUGACUCCUUGCGUGCAACCGACGGGCUAGGAUACUAUUGUGAGAUGGUCUGAUACAUAAAAGACGGCCUCAAGCCCCUCUAAGGAAGCAUCCAGUCUCGCCGUUCUACCAAUUUCACCGGAAAAACGAUCUACUAACUUUGCCGGAGCGCCGACUGCCAGUGCUCCACCUGAGGUACGCCGAACAGCCAAGCCACGAGUAGCCUUGAAGUAGCAAGCUGUUAUGUUUGAAAAUUAAUUUAAAAAAACAUGUGUUCUGGCUUUAUUACUUUGCCAUGAUCUUUUACUGUGUGCCUGCAACCGUAGCGCCCAUCGGCAUUACCUUGCCAUAUACGGACAGUCUGCUGAGUAAUUCAGAGCAAGAAAGUUAUUUUACUGGAAAAAGUACAUCCAGUAUGAAACCCGGGAAAUUAAAUUGAAAUCUGUCUGCAACAGUUAGGAUUGUAGUAUACAAGUUUACAGAUGAAUAUAUCAAGUCUACUAUGAACUAAAAGAGAGCAGGUUUGACAAAAAACACAAUUCAGGGUCACACGCUUCAGGCUCACACUUGCAAAUGGUUGUAGAAGUGACCUACUACUUGAAAGUUAAUGAAGCUUUAUUACUUUUCUCCACAUUGGUAACUUCACUUUUCAGAAUAGAGGUGUAUCAUCCACUACUCAUGGGCAUACGUAUUCUUCCUUCUACUGAUGUUGCCCUGCCCAUUAAAGUGUCUUUUCUGAACAUUGCGGCCGUGCUCCAUGAAUCAGAUACUACUAUCGGCUAUUGUAGUGAUGUACUGUUCAUCUACUACUCCUACAAAAGCAUGAAGUGCAGAUCUUAUACUGAUUUGGUAAAGUUAAACCAUAAAAUGCUUGACCAAUAUCAUAAGCACGACUGUGAAUUCUAACAUGGAGUAGAGUUAAUAGGGUAUCUGAGGGAAAAUAAUCUUAAGAUUAGCAAGGUGACAAGUGUUGGGGAGUAUUAUCAGUGAACAUACAGUAGAUAGCUAGAUUAGUUGGUUGUGUCUUCCAUCCAUUUUUUUGUAAACCGCCAACAUAGGCUCACUCUGCACCAAGCAGAUGGUAGUUCUAGCUGAGGAGGAUACAAAAAGAAAAACAACCAAACAGAAUUAAGCACCAAGAAUUUUACCACAGUUUUAUUUGCUUUUACACAACAAGUUUAUCAUUUAGCAUUUCUCAUUCAUUCGCCCUUAAAAUGUAUCCUUGGAUUGUUGAACUUAUAGGCAUUAAAUUCAUGAUUGAAGGAGUGUCUCAUGGCUUAAUAGUCAUUUAGGCACGUGAAAUUUUUAGGAGUGAAGUCAGGAGAAUAGGGCCAUGGGGGCGUGGUCAGUGGUGCAGUGGAUCCCGGCCCUUGCCUGUGGGUGGCUCCGUUUUUAGAUGUGUUUUCGAGUUUUGUUAGGGUUUGUGUCUUGUUUAGGAAGGCGAGACGGCGGCGGCUCCCUGAAUAUGGAAUAAGGUUCUCCCCGCCUAGUCCCCGUCCCGGUGGUGCACCUAGCACCGUCGGUGGGCUUGUGGAGGUGUGUCUCCGGCGGAUCUGCUUGUGGUGGAUUUUCUUGGAUCUGUUUGUCGUUCGUCUACGUUCGUGUCUUCAGGUUGGAUCCUUCUGAUCUACGUAACUCUUUAUCGGCGGUGGUUGCUGUUCUGCUGCGAUGGUCCUAUGGGGGCUUAGCACGACGACUACUCGACUGUCUACUACAACAAGUUUUGCCCAGCUCCGGUUAGGGAGGGGCGAUGACGGCGGCGUGCCUUCCGCUCGCUUCAGUGCUUGUAGUUGUCGCUAGGUGGAUGUAAAUUUUAUUAUUUCUGAUGUUUGUUGUACUGUCAUGAUUGAAGAUGAAUAGAUCGGAUGUUUUCUCGCUAAAAAGAGAAUCCAGAUAAUGAAGCAAAUAACUUGGUUAGAAGGUAAAUUCAUGAUCACCAAUGCCUAGCUAUUUUUUGAUCUUACUACUAUAAAGGAUGCAAGUGUAAUGUGUAGGUUCAGAGAGCAUCCCUGUCCAUGAACAAUACUUUACAUUUCUGAAUAU